AUUAUUAUUAGUUAUUUGGGAAUUUGGAAAAUAGUGAUGGGCAAAAUGGUAAAAGGAGUGAAUGGUGUGGUUUUUAUUUGUGUUGGAAAAGAAGGAGUGUGGGGAGCAGCGCAGGGAGAAGAAGGAAGAGCGAAGAGAAAAGUGACAGCAUCUGCCACCGCGUCGUCCGAAGAUCAAAUUCAACCGUCCCAUUUUCGGUUUCUUUAGCUACCCAUUUUCUUCAAUCUCUGUGUUUUUUACUGUACACUGCUAUUCCGUGACAAAUUCAAAAUUUUAUAUUUCAUGUUUGUGUUGUGAAUCCUCUUUCUGAUAUCCCAAAUCAGGGUAUUGUCAUGUUUUGAUUUUGUUAUCUGCGAUGUUGCAGAUGAUUGAUGAUCAAGAUCUGGGUUUCUUUGCCAAUUUUCUUGGCGUCUUCAUCUUUGUGCUGGUGAUAGCAUACCAUUUUGUUAUGGCUGACCCAAAGUUUGAAGGGAACUAGGAAAGCGUUUUAAGUUAAUGAUGUAAUUUUCGUUUUGUAGACUGAGAUGCUUUGCAAAUGGAUAUUUGAUGCAAUCAAGAACUCUAGUUUGGGAAUGCGAAUGUUAGCUUACGACUAAAGGUUUCUUGCUAUACUCAUGUGCGAUACCUUAAGCUUUAUUUGUUUUAAUGGAAUUUUGAUUGAAAAAGUAAUGAAAAUAUUGAAUUUACUUUGAGAUUAGAAAUUUUUUCUUUAUGUUCCUUGGAGAAUUAUCUUUUCUGGAGUUGGUGGAUGCUAUAUGAAGUAUUGAAUUUUCUUCUUUGGAUGCUUCAAAAAUCCUGUGUUGGAGUUGGAUACACUUUUUAAAUUGGAUGAAUUUGUGCAUACUGGAUUACAUGAUAUUGGUUAAUUCGUAGUCAUGUUGCUACAUUUUCUGAGUGAUCAGCUUCAUCUCUACAAAACACUUUUAAGUUUUGUUUGUUUGACUUGAGGAUUCUCCCAUACAGGUAGCUCUUUCAUUUUCAGCUUAUCUUUCAAUCUGCUUUAUUUCCUUUGUCUCCUCCCUCUAUCAAAUAAAAGAAAACGAUCUGUGUUAAAGUGUCAUGCCAACUUUCACAAUUUAGAUGUGAUGGGAGCUCCAUGUAUUAAUGGAUGAAAAGUUCGAUGUUGAAUUAAAGUAGACGUGUUUUUGUUUGAAAGUAAAUGUGCAAUAUCAUAAAGAGUGGCAAAACCUGUAAAUUCUGUU
rnacentral:sRNA from 1 species